AGCCGUUGGGAGCCCAGGAGGCGGGGCGCCUGUGGGAGCCGUGGAGGGAACUUUCCCAGUCCCCGAGGCGGAUCCGGUGUUGCAUCCUUGGAGCGAGCUGAGAGCUCGAGUACAGAACCUGCUAAGGCCAUCAAACCUAUUGAUCGGAAGUCAGUCCAUCAGAUUUGCUCUGGGCCGGUGGUACCGAGUCUAAGCACUGCGGUGAAGGAGUUAGUAGAAAACAGUCUGGAUGCUGGUGCCACUAAUAUUGAUCUAAAGCUUAAGGACUAUGGAGUGGAUCUCAUUGAAGUUUCAGGCAAUGGAUGUGGGGUAGAAGAAGAAAACUUCGAAGGCUUAACUCUGAAACAUCACACAUCUAAGAUUCAAGAGUUUGCCGACCUACCUCAGUGAGUGAGCGCUCAUGGGAUCUGGUUGUUUAGAAGCAUGCACCACCUCCCGCUUCACUCUCUCUGUCUCUCCUGCUCCACCAUGGCCAGAAACGUGCCUGCUUCCCCUUCGCCUUCUGCCGUGAUUGUCAGUUUCCUGAGGCCUCCCCAGCCAUGCUUCCUGUACAGCCUGCAGAACUGACUCCUAGAAGUACCCCACCCCACCCCUGCUCCUUGGAGGACAACGUGAUCACUGUAUUCAGCUCUGUCAAGAAUGGUCCAGGUUCUUCUAGAUGAUCUGCACAAAUGGCUCCUCUCCUCCUUCCUGAUGUCUGCCAUUAGCACUGGAAUAAAGUUCCUGCUGAAAAUCCA
rnacentral:lncRNA from 1 species